CAGAGGGUAACAUGUUUCACCCAAGUUAGACUAGUUAGUUUUUUAAAGAAUGGUGUCUCAACUUUAUUAUCAUUGGCAUACCUAUGAAUGUAGUGAAUCGUGUCACAAAACUAAGUAAAAUAGGGUGUCAAAACAAGCUUAAAAACUAAGAAACUAUUUCUUUACUGGUCAUCUAAAGACUGGUAUCACUGUACCCAAAUAUAUGAAGUUGAGUAUUUUAUACCCAGGUGGCUUUCCUACUAUGUGAAAUGAUUGCUUUCCUUACAUAAAGUAUAUCAAAAUGAGCUUCUGAAAUUUUGCCCUCAGGUUGCAGAGCUGGAAGAGAAACUGUUGUCAGGAACACGAUGGAACCAGGUAAAGAUAUUCAGGGAGUGAAAUGCAUCCAGGGGGUCUUAAAAAACCUGGGCUGGAAAAAGAGUUUGAUAGUUCAACUUUCAUGAAAAAUGUGGAGUAGAAAGGAGUGAAAAAUCUGGUUUCCUCCUCCACUGUUUUCCAUUUCAUUACUGAAGUAUUUCAAUUCUCUAGACAAUGAAAUAAGGGAGUACAUGAUAGAUGGCUGUCCAAAUGCAAUAUUCCUGUUCAGCACCAAUAAUAUUUUAAGUUUACACUAAAAUACCAGGUGGGACCUCUAUGAUGAUUUUAGCUUAAGGCAAUGCUAAAUCCUGAGAAUUGCUGAAGCACGUUGAAGAACAGCAUCCCAAGCUCUAUUCUACAAGCUGGCUUUGAUGAUUGAUAAAUUAUAAUGGAAAUUAAUGUACUUAAUUUCAAAAAUUAAGUAGAUACCUAUUUUCUUUCAAGAUUUGUUACAGGAUGCAGCAUUUUUUCAAAGAUACUCAGACUCAUUUGUUGUUUGCCUCAGGUUUAGUAUUCAUUGCCUUCCUUCCUGCAGCUCUUCAGUAGGUCUCUCUGACGUGAACCCACCUGAGGGAGGCCAUUACACUAAUGCCUUCAGAUUUUCACAGAGCUCAGAUUGCUUUGUUGGAUGCUUUGAAAUGUCUGGUCAUUAUAAUUUAGUCAUUCAAGACCCCUAACUUAAAAAAUUCUAGUUAUGGAAUAAUUGUAAUGCCAUAGGAAGCAAAUUAAGCAAGCUGUCUACUCCUGGGAAAUGUUAACAAAUGCCUGUGGAUACUGAGAAGAGUCCAUGAGGAAGAAAAUGAGCCACACAAGGUCGGAAUAACUUACUAUGCUAUUAAUAAUAUCUUCCUUCUUAUUCAGGGGCUGUUUUUAUUAAAUACCAAAACAUUGAGGCAUUGAAAAUAUUGAACUCUAGCUGUUUUGGUAAAAAAUACAAUAUAGAUUUUUUUUUAAGUUUAGCUAACAGUUUUUGAAAGCUGAUUAUUGGUCAGACCCUGUGCCUAAGACUUUAUAUAUACAUAUUCCUUCACAUAAUCUUCACAAUAAUCUGUGAUCUAAGGCUUUUACCAAUAUUCAGUGAGAUAACGUAGAAAAAAUACUGGCAAUAAACGGCUUCUGACACAUAGUAAUUCUGGUAUUUUGAUUUUUCUUACUUAUUGCAAUUAGGUGAGACUUAAGCAUACAUAGGCAUG
ensembl:lncRNA